rnacentral:rRNA from 1 species
CCUACGGGAGGCAGCAGUGGGGGAUAUUGCACAAUGGGGGGAACCCUGAUGCAGCGACGCCGCGUGGGUGAAGAAGCGCCUCGGCGCGUAAAGCCCUGUCAGCAGGGAAGAAAAUGACGGUACCUGAAGAAGAAGCCCCGGCCAACUACGUGCCAGCGGCCGCGGUAAUACGUAGGGGGCAAGCGUUAUCCGGAUUUACUGGGUGUAAGGGGGGCGCUGACGGCGAUGCAAGCCAGGAGUGAAAGCCCGGGGCCCAACCCCGGGACUGCUCUUGGAACUGCGUGGCUGGAGUGCAGGAGGGGCAGGCGGAAUUCCUGGUGUAGCGGUGAAAUGCGUAGAUAUCAGGAGGAACACCGGUGGCGAAGGCGGCCUGCUGGACUGCAACUGACGUUGAGGCCCGAAAGCGUGGGGAGCAAACAGGAUUAGAUACCCGUGUAGUC